CCUAAUAUCCGAACCGCCAAAAGCCCUAAAUUAUCUCCCUCACAUUUUGAGCUAAGCCAAUAUCCCUUUGCUUCAAAUCUUUCGCAAAUUUGCUUUCUGAUAUCUGCAAACGCCAUGUCAAAACGAGAGUCAAUGGCAAGCAAAACGAGCGAAAUUUGUUUUCAAGAUUGAACAAAAUAUGGGGCUGGCAAAGAAUUAGCUGUGGAUGAAAGAAAAAUGAAGAGCAUUCAAUUCAAUUCUUGGGUUCUUUGCAAAUUCUUUGCCCACGGGGCAUGUCUAAAAGGGGACCAUUGUGAGUUCUCGCAUGAUUGGAAGGCCCCGCCAAAUAAUAUAUGCACCUUCUACCAAAAAGGAGUUUGUGCUUAUGGUAGUAGGUGUAGAUAUGACCAUGUCAAAGUUGCUCGUUUACAAUCUCCAGCUCCAUCUUCAUCAGCAUAUUCUCACCAACAUCAUUCUGUCCCCGCUGAUCAUCCUUCCGAGUCUGCAGCUGAUACUGCAAGUGUUGUCACAGCUGUUACUUCUGAGCUUUCAGCUUCUGGUGGACCUUUAUAUCUUCCUACUACACCUGCAUGGGAUGAAAAACUUCAGCAUCCUGAUAUGACAGAGAAUGAUGAUGUUAGGGAGCCGAGGAGUGUUAAUCCUGCUGACCGACCAAUAUGUUCUUUUGCUGCUGCGGGUAAUUGUCCUCGUGGGGAAGAAUGCCCUCACAUUCAUGGUGAUCUGUGCCCCACCUGUGGGAAACAUUGCUUACAUCCUUUCAGGCCUCAAGAGAGAGAAGAACAUGUGAAAACAUGUGAGAAAAUGCAAAGAAAAUUAGAGGCAUUAAAACAUAGUCAAGAAAUAGAGUGUAGUGUGUGCCUCGAACGUGUUCUAUCAAAAUCUGAUCUGGCUGAAAGAAAGUUUGGAAUAUUAUCAGAAUGCGAUCAUCCAUUCUGUAUAUCAUGUAUUAGGAAUUGGCGCAGUAGUUCACCAGCAUCUGGAAUGGAUGUUAAUUCUGCACUAAGAGCCUGCCCAAUAUGUCGGAAGCUUUCGUACUUCGUCAUUCCUAGUGUCAUCUGGUAUUGUUCAAAAGUGGAAAAGCAGGACAUUGUUGAUAGUUACAAGGCAAAGCUUAGGUCUAUUGAUUGCAAGCACUUUGACUUUGGGAAUGGAACCUGCCCAUUUGGGACCAGUUGUUUUUACAAGGAGAAGAAUGUUUUUCCAAUCAUCCACAUGCAUAUUGUGAUGGUCGGCUGGAGGAAGUGGUUCUUCGCCAUCUUGGGGCAGAAGAUGGAAACACGGUGAUUGCUAAAAGUGUCAGGCUCUCGGACUUUCUUAGUAACAUACAGAUCCGUUGAUGGAAGCUUUAAAGUUUCCUGGAAACAUUCAGGGGCAUUUGGCAGCAUAGUGAUGUAAUUUUCAAACAGAAGAAUAUGAAAUAUUGAUGGGUACAAAGUUGCUUUUACCUACGGUGAGAUGCUAUCUUUUGUUUCAUGCUCUUUCAUUAUGGUAAUCCUUCUUUAGGAAGAACUUACUUGUGUUUGUUUACUUGAAAUCCUCCCUUGAGUUGUAGACUACGUUUGAAGAGAAAAAAUAAUUGUUCCUCAAGGGUGCAGAAGCACUAAUGCAGCAUUUGAAAAUAUUAGCGUUUUUUGUUCCUUUAUCUUUGGUUGUUAGGUACUUCAUUAUCGAAAUUCUGGAAAAUAAUAACAUUCUGAGAGACCUAUAGUAAUUUUCUUGUAUAGGGUGGGUCGACCUUGGUUUUUAUUAGCUUCACCUAUUCACCUAGGGUGCAGGUAACAUGGGACCUUAUGGAUAUGAACAGUUGAGAUCUGCUGUCCUGAACUUCAUGUCUCCUUGGUAGUCCCCAUUACAUUUUUAACACGUGUCAGUACUUUUUCGAAAAAUCAUGUGACCCAACACGUAUGGUAUCAAAUACACUUGUCCGUUUCAAUGCAUCAUAGAUAAAGAAUACGGGUCUUUUUAUUUUAAUUUUGGUUGGGGGUUGAAAAAGCUCUCAAGAUCUUGUUUACUAAUAAUAUAGAAAGAACAAAUGAAAGCUUUGCCCUUUUUCGUU